GUCCGCCAUUCUCCGUAGCGCCCCUCCAACGGGUGGAGGCCUCCCUAGUCUGGGGAGAGUGGCAGAGUGUUGCCGGGCGUCCAGGGACCGUGUUGGGAGGCAACUAAGGCGUCGCACGCGCCAAAAGCCAGAAAAAGGGGCUUCCGGGAACCCGGGCGCCUCGAAGUCCUCUGCGGGGCGAAGCCGCACCUGAGCUCGCGGGCCUGCAGUGCGCGUGCGCGGCCGGGGCUUUCCCGCACCUGCUCGCGAGACCCUCAACGGCCGGCGGCUCGACGACUGGCGCGCGGCGCGGGCAGCAGGUUAUGGCGCAGCUAUGUGAGCCGCGGCGGGGCCGGGCGCUUCUCGCCCUGUUAGCCUCGCUGCUUCUCUCCGGGGCCCAGGCGGCCAGCAGAGACCUAGACGUCCACGAGAACACCAUUGAUGGUCUGGCCAGGAGCAGUGAUGGCGCUUCUGCCCUGAGCGUUCCCAGAAAGCAGGAUUCUGCGGACCUCGCUGGUGAGAUCUUCAACUAUGAAGAAUACUGUGUCCCAAAGGCGGUCACUGGGCCUUGCCGCGCAGCCUUCCCUCGCUGGUACUAUGAUGUUGAAAAGAAUUCCUGUAGCAGCUUCAUCUAUGGCGGGUGCAGAGGCAACAAGAACAGUUACCUCUCCCAGGAAGCGUGCAUGCAGCACUGCUCUGGGAAGCAGAUGUAUCCUUUCCUGACCCCGGGCACAAAAGGUAAGUGGUGGCCU
rnacentral:lncRNA from 1 species